UUUCUUUUAAUUUUUUUAUUCGUUUUAUCUUUGUAAACCACCGCUCAUUCACACUUGUCUCGAUUCUUUCCACCGCCUCUAGAAAACCUCACCCACUUAAAACCAGUCUUGGAAGGAUGUAACCACAGGUCGACGAUGAAUGGAUCGACAACGCCUUCCAUCUUCUUCACCAGAGAAAUCGAAGCAAAAUAAGUUCAGCAAUUGAAGUGGGUCCUUUUGAUCGAUCAUGGUUGAACCUGGAAACCUCCAGAGAAGAACCCUAAAUUCAUCGAUUUUGCUCUGCUCCUUCUCUAUUCGAUUACACUUUCCACUCAAUGAUGAUGCUAUUGAAGAUGAGUACAAUUUGUUUGAAGCGUCCAAUUUUUAUUUUAGGGGUUUUCCACUUCUUUCGGUAUUAAGUACAUGUAAUAAUUUAUGUGUCAUUUUUCUUCAUUUUUGUUUUUUCUUGAUGCUUCGAUUGAUGUUUUCACAGUAUUCCUUCGUUUGAACAAAGAAACGUAUCCCUAACUGAAUUUGUCCAUAAAAGAAAGAAUGAAAGAUGAGGAAGAACAGAAAAAGAGGAGACGAUAUCGGAAAAAAUGAUGUUUAUGCUGACCAAUCGCCGUUCUUGAUGCUCAUUGCCAUCGCUCGGAGCUUUCAACAGUAACAAAAAAUAAUUCUUUACCUACGUAUUGCUGAUAUGUCAAAAUUACCUUCUGUGCAGUUGAGGCAUGUGCAACCUGAAAUUGAUGCUAGAAGAUCACAAUGAGCAAUUGCAGCUCCUCAUCUUUUUCUACUUUACAAAUUAAAUUUCCAAAAAUUUGUUGUGCUAAACUGGUCGCCUGUAAGCAUUUGUGGAUGCAGUUAACAAGCUGGGUGGAAGUCAAAAAAUAAUAGACAGCUAGAUACAAACCUAAAACUUCAUCAGAAACAAGUCGUGCCAAUGUUAAUUCUCCUCCUGUUGUGACAAUAAUGAAUGCCAUCCAGCAGGAGGGAUAUGGUGUUAGUAGAUCGUACAUUUCCAAUAAUGUGAUCAAGACAAAUCGUCUCAUCUCAGAGUCGUGAGUUUAUUUUUUUUAUUAAAUAUGGAGUAUGGACAACCUGAUGUUGGUGGUCAUAGAGAAAUGGACGUUGUCCACAGUCAUGAUUGGGAAUGUGUUACUGUGAUUACAAUUUGGAGAAGAAUAUGAUUUAGAGUCCUUAGACCUGAUGUUAAUUUCUUUCUUAAUGGUCAAUUGUGAUGAAUUAAACCCUUGGAAACCUUGGGUUUGGGGUUGUCGGUGCCAAUGGGCAAUCCCAACCUCAGGAAACAAACACAUUUUGGCAAUUUGGAAGAACUGAAAUAAAUUGCGUGUUCAGUUGGAAGGAAAUUGGAAUCUCCUCUAAAUAUCUAUGGGUACACAAAUAUUAAAUAAU